UUUUUCUUAGAAUAUGAGAACAAAUAGUUCUCCAAAAAAUAUAUUAUAUAUAGGACAGGAUCGAGUAGUUAUUAGCAUUCAUUGCAGUAAAUCGAGCCUUGGAAUUUUAAAGUUUAAACUGUUCACAGAGUUUUCUUAUUUUUUUCUUGAAAAUGAAAAAUAUCAUGGCUAAUUUUCUCAAAUUGGUUUAUGCUAUGGUUCUUCUUCUUUCCCCUUUUGUUGUUGUAACGAAAGCCUAUAGAUGUAACUUUCCUUUAAUUAUGAGGUGCGAUGAUUUAGGGUGUUUCUGCGCACCAAUGUAACACUCUUAAAUUUAAAAAUAAUGUUUUAUUUAUCGCACUUUACCCUCUUUGACAAACUUAGAAACAUGUUAAUUGUAUUAUUAUGCAAGUUUCGGAUCCUUUGUUCUCUUUUAAAUAAAUGGAGAACAUGAUUAUGACUACAUAAUUGCAAUUACAUUUCAAUAAAUAAAGAAAAUAUAUUUAUGUAAAAA